rnacentral:lncRNA from 1 species
GCCAAUCACUCGCGAAGUCCCAAGUCUCCGCUCGUUUCGGAUUGCUUAGGGACGCCACUCGUCCCAUCCCACGCCGAUCUAGAUUAAGAUCGCCUACGCGGUGCUAUCGCUUCCUAAGACACGACAACUCGGUCGAUUCUCGACCCUCAGGGUCGAGCGCGAAACAACUGACACCGACUCGAAUCGGGCGAAAGUCAUGCAAGGGUGUCUAUUCUCAUCACUCGGUUUCAUGUUGUGUAUACCCAACAUGAACACCCUCGGUUGAGAAUAAACCACACCUCGAGUCUACCUCUAACAUCCGUUUUAGAGGUUUACUAACCUGACCCAAUCGAUCAAUCUUUCGCCAUAAGUCACAAGUCCUCGUCUCUCACGAGCCUUAUUCUCCUAUGGUUUACUAUCCUAGGGUCUCCUAGGUCCGCCUAAACCAUUUCCCAUUCUCUACUUUAUGCUCUGAUACCACUAUUAUCUGUCACGACCCGCGACCACCCGCCUAUUUGGCCGAGGUCGCGGCGCCGCCGACAGACCGCCGAACGGACAGAGUCUCCCCUGUACGUCCUAGGCGUCGCAAUCAAUACAAGUACAAGAAGUUCCAACCAGGAACAGUAUUCAAGCAAGAUUGCAUAAGGAAGGUAUCAAACAACAUAACACAUCCUAUGUUAUUACAAGCAUUCCCAUUAGAUUCAUUUUUACAUCACAUUAGCAUUAUUACAUUACAUUUUCUUCCAAAUACAAUCAAUGAUCGCAAUAUUAUUACAAGUUUGCUCUUUUUCUUUUCCCUCUACCCCUAGGCUAUGCCGACUCGGGGUACCUCUAUCUCUGGUCUCUGGGGUAGGGCGCUAUCUAUGGAGCUACGCCCUCGCCUUGCGCCGCCGCGCCGCUCACGUGCGAACCUGUAACACCCCAAAACAACGUGGGGUGAGAACCAACUCCAUGGUUCCCAGUGGGUACGGCCACCCAAGGGAAAAGCUCGACCAAUAGGUCUAAGGAGGCCCUGCAACAUGUUAGUCCAACAGAUAUCCAACAGAUAUAUAUAUUCAAGUAUUGAAAUACAUGUUGUGCCUCACAAAAUGCAAUAUGAAAUUCAUGCAGUUUAUGCAACCAUGCAACCAACUAGUAGUUCAAUCGAUACUACUUUUAUUCCUGUUAUUCACAGUUCAACCAAUUGACUUCUAAGUUUUCCUCUAUCUUAGAUUCUUGUCAAUUACAAUUCUGCUCAUAGGGUUUAACCUGCUUUUAUAAGCUAUCCACUCGACUCGGUCUUGAGUCAAUCAUACGCGGAAUACCGCACAAAGCCAGGCUCAAGGUGAAGGAUGUCUCACAUGCACCUCAGCCCUAAAUCCACUCAACUGGGAUGCAACUAAAACUCAUACCAUGCAUCAAAUAGUAAAGGUUUACUAUCAUGCUAACAAAUUCGAUCCAUGUUCGAAUAAUAAUGUUCAAUGGCAUUGUUCACUGUUCUUUUACCCAAUCUGUAGCGAAGCCCUAGGGUUCGCCAAUAACUCAUCUUUCAAUCCCAAAGUGGGGAGGGAGCUCCAAGUGCACCCAAGCCCGGGACCGUCUGCGGACCUCCAUGUGGUCCGGACCUCCAAGUGGUCCUAGUCGCACGACACUCCGGAGUACUCGACGACAAUCCCCUCCAUGUGGGGAUUGGAUGGCUAUACCAUCCCAAACGCAGACUGUGAGCUAGAUCUAUCCUCUCCAAGUGAGAAUACCCUACAACUAGGGUCAACAACCCAAUCCAAUCCUCUCCAAGUGAGGAUGCUCUACAACUGGAGUCAACAACCCAAUCAAAUCCUCUCCAAGUGAGGAUGCUCUACAACUAGAGUCAAUGUCCCAAUAACUCAUCGACAACCUCUCCAUGUGAGGGUACUUAGGUUUACUAAGUUCUUUAUACACAAGGCAUUUUCUAAGGGAUUCACCUAUCCCUAGGUUCUCAAACCUCUAGUGUCAAAUACACUACAUUAAUGCCACUCGAUGUGUUCUUGUUUUCCAAUGUCAAUUUCUCUAAUCGACCAAGUUCAACAUGCAUAAUCCAUCCACUAUGUUCCACAAUAUGGCAACAUGUAUAAUUCUUCUAUCAUAUGCAAUAUAUGGCAUCAUGUAUAUGUUUCUAUUUAACAUAAUCCACAAUAUGUUAAUUCACAACAUGUCAUCAUGCACAUUAUAUGAUAUGGCAAUAUACAUUUAAUCAUCAUCCAAAGUAGUAUAUACUUAGCAUCUCAUGCACUCUUUUAGCAUUUAAUUCAUUAUGCAUUACAACUAGCAUGUUCUCUACUUUACGUUAACAUGCAAAUGCCAUUUACCUCAUACACUUAACUAGCAUCAUUUAUAUCACAUCAUCAUGCAUUCUACUUAGCAUUUUGCAUCAUAUUGUCCACAUGCAUUAGCUAUGUCAUUUUAUUAACAUGCAUCAAUAUGAAUUUGUAUGUUUCUUAGACAUAAAGGGCGACCUAGUCGCUUCGGUAAGCACAACCCACCUCAUUUCGCAUUCCGAUUGCUUGUCAACACUUGCAAUCGGCCUCCCGCGGCACCCGGCACUCGGUUUGGCCCGAUCUCUCGCGCGACCACCCGAACGGCCUCCAAUCCACGAUCCGAAAAUUAAAGGUCUUCGGUUAUGUGCCACGAUACUUCAAAUCCAUUUUCAUGAAUUUACGAUAUCGCCUCGGCCCUCCCGGCGGAUCCGAAGCCUAAACGUCCAUUUCUUUAAUAACUUUGUAACGGCUCGUCGGAUUGCCGAACCGUCUUCGCCAACGCGUUCGUUUACCUAGCAAUUAGGUUUACGGAGGGUCAAAUUAGAUCAAACCCUUAUAUUUUACAAAACCCCAUUCGGAGCCCUAAUAUGCAAUUAACCUCAAAAUAAUCCAAAAUUAAAUGGAUCAACAUGCUAACAAAGCUCAUUAGAGGCUAUUAGAACACUUAAAGCUAAGGAUUAAACCAAAUCCCAAAAGCUUACCUCAAUGUGAACGCCGCGACGAAAAUACGCCGCUCCAACGGGCGCACAAAAGCUCGAUCCGUCGCCUCCAACGCGUUCGCAAGCAUCUUCUCCACCAACCCUCAAAUUUUUAGAGAGAGAUUUAGAGAGAUGAGAGAGAUCUCUAGAGAGAGAAGGGAGGGUUUUCCUCCCCCUCCAUGCGCGUGUGUGUGUGUGUGGUGUGUGUGCGGCUGAAGGAGAAGAAGAGGAGUCAACACUCCUCUUUAGUCAACACCACAACACUAUUCACUCUCGGGCAGUUCGAAAUCUGAUAUCUUUCGCCGGAACUCCCUGAACAUCCGUUUGAGCUCAAACUUGACAGUCAUGUUCGGUUUUACUUAACUUAACAAGCUGACGAUCGCUGGUUCAGUUUCGACCCCGUUUGGUCACUGAAAACUGUACCGAACUGCAAUCUUUAUCAGAUAGCUUUCGGAUUUUAUUUCUCACUCUACGGGUGUCAGAAAAAUAUGAAACCUUAAAUCUAGCCUCAUAAAAAUAUUUC